AACGUAGGUCACAAGCGUUGUCCGGAAUUACUGGGUGUAAAGGGAGCGCAGGCGGGCGAUCAAGUUGGAAGUGAAAUCCAUGGGCUCAACCCAUGAACUGCUUUUAAAACUGGUCGUCUUGAGUAGUGCAGAGGUAGGCGGAAUUCCCGGUGUAGCGGUGGAAUGCGUAGAUAUCGGGAGGAACACCAGUGGCGAAGGCGGCCUACUGGGCACCAACUGACGCUGAGGCUCGAAAGUGUGGGUAGCAAACAGG
rnacentral:rRNA from 1 species